rnacentral:rRNA from 1 species
GGAAUAUUGGACAAUGGGGGCAACCCUGAUCCAGCCAUGCCGCGUGUGUGAAGAAGGCCUUCGGGUUGUAAAGCACUUUCAGCAGGGAGGAAGGCCUUAAGGAUAAUACCCUUGAGGAUUGACGUUACCUGCAGAAGAAGCACCGGCUAACUCAGUGCCAGCAGCCGCGGUAAUACGGAGGGUGCGAGCGUUAAUCGGAAUUACUGGGCGUAAAGCGCGCGUAGGCGGUUAUUUAAGCUGGAUGUGAAAGCCCCGGGCUCAACCUGGGAACUGCAUUCAGAACUGGAUGGCUAGAGUACGAGAGAGGGUAGUGGAAUUUCCUGUGUAGCGGUGAAAUACGUAGAUAUAGGAAGGAACAUCAGUGGCGAAGGCGACUGCCUGGCUCGAUACUGAUGCUGAGGUGCGAAAGCGUGGGGAGCAAAC